AGGUCAGGGAUAGUAGUCAGCU
rnacentral:misc_RNA from 1 species